UAGAAAAACAGGACUUGAACCUGCACCAAAGAGCUCAAAACCCUUUGUACUC
rnacentral:tRNA from 1 species